rnacentral:sRNA from 1 species
ACUCAACACGAAUUCUUUAAAAAGGGUGAGUUAAAGUUGUAAAAGCGUGCCGUCUUUGAGCGGAUACUUGACCAGCUUGUUAGCCCUAAACAUUCAUUUUAAGGAGUUU